CACUGAACCAAUAGCUCAAAGACCAAUUCCUGCAUGCUUUUUGCCAAUUGGGUAGUGCGCGGAAACUAUGUGUGAUACAUCACUUCAGCAGAGGAACAUGAUGCACGUAUGUAACAGUUACUCAUCCCUUGAAAUGUGAAUGAUCCAAACCUUUGCGAGCAUAUCAGUCACAACCAUCCAGCAGCACAAGUGGGAACACUUGUGCUAUCACAAGCGAAAACAAGUACAAUAGCACUGCCGUCUCAGCUGGUUUGUCGUGAUUACUUUGCCUGCAAGUUCCUUGUUUAUAUUGGAUAGGCUUCCUACUUUAUAAAUUAACAGCUUUCACAACAUUUACUGUGCUAAUGAAGGCACAGCACAGAUACCAGUACUGAAGGAGGUAUAUACAAGUAGGGCAGAGAACUUGUGGGUAAGCUCAAAAAUAAAUGGGUAAAACUAUGUCGAACAAACCAUUUUCACAUUAGAAGAUAUGUCAUCGGCAAUUAAUGCACAUGCAAUAAGUGCCCUGUGUGGGAGAUUGAGACCUGUGAUGCCAAACACCUGUUUGCCUUUUAAAUAUCGACAAAGAAAAAUUGCAGUCUGUACUUCUGUGUCGGAGGGUACAAUAUCAAAGGAGAGGUGCAAAACGGAUUUUGCAUGUAGUAGUCCCUUAUGAAUGUGCUACUCAAGUUGUGCCAAGCAUAGCCAUCUGUGUGCAAAGCAUUGGACAAGGUACCAUAUGUAUGUCUGACACAUUAAAAAUCUUUUGCAUUGAA